UACGUAGGGGGCUAGCGUUGUCCGGAAUCAUUGGGCGUAAAGCGCGUGUAGGCGGUCCGGUAAGUCCGCUGUGAAAGUCGGGGGGCUCAACCCUCGGAUGCCGGUGGAUACUGUCGGGCUUGAGUACGGAAGAGGCGAGUGGAAUCCUGGUGUAGCGGUGAAAUGCGCAGAUAUCAGGAGGAACACCGGUGGCGAAGGCGGAUCUCUGGGCCUUGCCUGACGCUGAGGCGCGAAAGCUAGGGGAGCGAACAGG
rnacentral:rRNA from 1 species